UCGCUGCUAUGUCUCCUCUCUCCCUAUUAGUCGCCGCUGAUUUGAUCAUACGGUUCUUAGUACAUAUCUGUUUGUUUCUUGGAUGAUCUGCCCCUUGUCUGCUUGUUUGUCGGUCACUGAACUUGGGGAGGUUUUGUUUCUCGAUGAUUUCGGGUCUAUAAUCGUGGGGAAUCUGGUUGUAGAUGAUAUGUUAGAGUGAUUUUUUAUAGGAUUUCGGUUUCUGUGUUUUAAUCUUGUGUUAGGUGAUAGGGAUUUCAUGACUCUGCAGGAUCUGCAACAGCUGUAAGCAUCGGGAGAUUUGAUUCACCCAGAAGUUCUUCCUCAGUGACAUUGUUGUCCACAAGAUAAAAGUUUGCUGCUGGGAGGAUUCUAUUUUUAGUUACUGGUUUUGAGAAGACAGCAAGUUCUCAGAUCUUUCUUGAAGUUCUGAUGGAUGGCGCAGUUAGUACUAUAUUGGUAUUGCCCUGGAUUAUUGAAGCUCUGCAAUGAUCUGGCAAUAGUUUUUUUUUCCCAUCUUUGCAAGAGGAGGCAACCUAUGGGGAUGGUGGGACCUCUGACCAGUGACCACAUGUUUGGAGCAAGACAUUAAGUUAAGGUUGUGUUUGGAACUCCAAGUUCCCAACACUCUCCUCUCGUUUUCCGCGCGCACGCUCUUCAAACUGUUAAACAGUGCGUUUUUUAAAAAAAAAGUUUAUAUACGCAAGUUGCUUAAAAAAAUCUUAUUGAUCCAUUUUUGAAAAAUAAAUGGACUAAUACUUAAUUAAUCAUGUGCUAAUGGACUGCUCCGUUUUCCGUGCGCCCUAUUAGAGUUGGGAACUCACGCAUCCGAACACAGUCUAAGUGUUUCUUCUGUGUUUGGUUUCCGAUAUGCUAUCGGGACAUGUUUUAUAACAAGUGAUAUCAGAGCCGAAGAUUUCAGCAUUGAAUCAAGAAAAAAUGUGGAGGAGGAAACACGAAUUAGUUCAUUUUUGUGAUGUUAAUGCGAAGGCUUCGGCUAAGGUUGUUUUUGCUGCGGCUGCAUCUGCGAUCAAAUUAAUGUUUUCUUAAAUUAUAUUUUUUCGUGAUGUUCUUCAGUGUGUUUCUUAAUUAGUAACAAUAACACUGAGGUCCCAUUAUACUGCCACCCGUUCAAUUAUUUAAUAAACUUGCCAAUGGGAAACUAAAAUCGGGCUACAUGAUGGAUUACGCAGGUUCAACAUUCUCUAUUGUCUGAAUAUUUUAGUUAACUUUUAAGUAAAAAAUCUGGGCACAGUUAACCUACUUUCUACGCUUAUCUUUUAGCCUCAAUAUACACCUGAAUUCUUGCUCCAGGGAGUGCAACAAUUCCAUGUAACCAAAAGUAUGAAGUGGACAUAGUACAGUUCAAGAAUAGGUUCUUCUCCACAAAAACAAAUUGGCAAAGUGAGGCAAAGCUUAUUGAAUUAGCAAGGUAGUGCAAAAAUUCCCUGUAACCAAAAGUAUGAAGUGGAUACGAUCAAGAAAAGGCUCUUCACGAAAAUAAUUUGGCAAGGUAAGGAUAUAUAGGAUGCAACAGCAAAGUUUGUUGUAGUUAAUUUGUAAGCUUGUUGCAGCACCACAAAUGAUAUUUUAGUUUAGAGGGGAAUUGCAAUCUUUUUUAUGAUUAGGCUUAUCACCUUAGAGUUGAAAAAUCUGGGAUUGCAAGAGGCAUUGCAAGGGAGAACUUUUGAAAAGGAAUUGUGAGUACAAAGAAGAGAUCACAACAGGUACAGAGUUCUUACAUUGCAUUGACAUAUGAUUUUUUAAAAAAAUCCUGCAAAAGGCUCUGGUUUUCCUUAUAUUUGUUCAGACUAUUUUGUGUCCAUGUUUUGAGGAUGGAUUAAUUUCCCAAGCACCUCAAUGUGAUGUUAUACAACCCUUGACACAACAUAAACACCAGCUGUCUUUUUUUUUGGACAACACCGUGUCAAGCGAAUGGAGAUCUGGUAAUUGAUCACGGUGUGUGCAUGUAUGCCCCUGUAUUUGAAUUCUCUCAAUAUUAUCAGACCUGUACUAGUUUUUUAUUUAUCAGAGUUGUUUCUCACCUACUAUACCACUUGAUAGGAAUAUUUAGCAUGUGCACAUAGGCUAUCGAUAUCUUUAGUGCCUAUAUUCUUUGGCUUUGGCAACUAUAAGAAACUAAUGAGGAAGGACAAGCAGCUUAUUCUGCACGGUCUUAACGAGGUUAUCUCGAGGUGGGUGUGCAACAGGAGAGAUGAGGCUGGUGCUAUUUCUUCCCACUCACGGGAUCUGUCUGUCUUCAUUUGUCUAGCGGAAGCUUUUUGUUUAUCUGCAGAAACUACUACAGAACAACCAUUUUUGUCAUUCCUGCCUUUGUUUCAUCUGUAGUAAAUUUGACUUAUGAAGCAUAGCAUAUUGUGGUAUUGCCUAUGAUUCUACUUGCAAGGAAUAAAAUGUGCCCCGAUUAUAGUGUAUUUGAAAAAAAAACAGAACUAUAAGAUAAUGUCAUUAUUGUUUUUCCUAGCAACGAAAGUCUGUGAUUCAGAGAACAAUACUACUAUACAUACUGCU